rnacentral:rRNA from 1 species
UACGGGGGGGGCAAGCGUUGUUCGGAAUUACUGGGCGUAAAGGGCUCGUAGGUGGCCAGCUAAGUCAGACGUGAAAUCCCUCGGCUUAACCGGGGAACUGCAUCUGAUACUGGAUGGCUUGAGUUUGGGAGAGGGAUGCGGAAUUCCAGGUGUAGCGGUGAAAUGCGUAGAGAUCGGGAGGAACGCCAGAGGCGAAAGCGGCGACCUGGACAGGUACUGACACUCAACUACGAAAGCGUGGGGAGCAAACAGG